UUGAUGCCCAUUUUUGGCCUCAAAAACGGACGUCGAAAACGACUUUUUCAGGAUUUUCAAAGUGCUCUCAUUCCCUUAGUUCUGCUCGGAUCCUGUUAUAACCCGGUGUUUUCGUAAUCUAGGUGACCCAAAUAAGACGCUGGUGUACUUAGUUUGAUUUCGAAAAAAAUCAAUUUUUGGUGAAAAAAAUCGAUACGGGGGGGUAUACCCGAAAAAUGAAAAAACCCAAACUUUGAAGGUCGAUAUCUCGGCUUCUAUGGGAGCUAUCGGGAAAAUUCCAACGGUUUUCUCUUAGUUUCGUCGUUCUAAAUCCAACGAGACCAUCCGCAAGGUCGUAGCUUUUACGAUAGCCGAGAUAUGGCAUUUUUGAUGCCCAUUUUUGGCCUCAAAAACGGACGUCGAAAACGACUUUUUCAGGAUUUUCAAAGUGCUCUCAUUCCCUUAGUUCUGCUCGGAUCCUGUUAUAACCCGGUGUUUUCGUAAUCUAGGUGACCCAAAUAAGACGCUGGUAUACUUAGUUUGAUUUCGAAAAAAAUCAAUUUUUGGUGAAAAAAUUCGAUACGGGGGGGUAUACCCGAAAAAUGAAAAAACCCAAACUUUGAAGGUCGAUAUCUCGGCUUCUAUGGGAGCUAUCGGGAAAAUUCCAACGGUUUUGUCUUAGUUUCGUCGUUCUGAAUCCAACGAGACCAUCCGCAAGGUCGUAGCUUUUACGAUAGCCGAGAUAUGGCAUUUUUGAUGCCCAUUUUUGGCCUCAAAAACGGACGUCGAAAACGACUUUUUCAGGAUUUUCAAAGUGCUCUCAUUCCCUUAGUUCUGCUCGGAUCCUGUUAUAACCCGGUGUUUUCGUAAUCUAGGUGACCCAAAUAAGACGCUGGUAUACUUAGUUUGAUUUCGAAAAAAAAUCAAUUUUUGGUGAAAAAAUUCGAUACGGGGGGGUAUACCCGAAAAAUGAAAAAACCCAAACUUUGAAGGUCGAUAUCUCGGCUUCUAUGGGAGUUAUCAGUGAAAUUCCAACGGUUUUGUCUUAGUUUCGUCGUUCUGAAUCCAACGAGA